GUCAGUCCUGUUAGAAUCAGAGCUGGUGGUCAGUCCUGUUAGGGUUAGAAUCAGAGCAGGUGGUCAGUCCUGUUAGGGUUAGAAUCAGAGCAGGUGGUCAGUCCUGUUAGAAUCAGAGCAGGUGGUCAGUCCUGUUAGAAUCAGAGCAGGUGGUCAGUCCUGUUAGGGUUAGAAUCAGAGCAGGUGGUCAGUCCUGUUAGAAUCAGAGCAGGUGGUCAGUCCUGUUAGGGUUAGAAUCAGAGCAGGUGGUCAGUCCUGUUAGAAUCAGAGCAGGUGGUCAGUCCUGUUAGAAUCAGAGCAGGGGGUCAGUCC
rnacentral:lncRNA from 1 species